CUUAAAUGAUGAUAUUUUUUGUCCAUAAUUUUUUUGUUGGCAAACAAUGAGCUUUUUAACCCUGAUAAAC